rnacentral:rRNA from 1 species
GGAUAACAUACCGAAAGGUAUGCUAAUACGGGAUAAUAUAUUUGAGAGGCAUCUCUUAAAUAUCAAAGGUGAGCCAGUACAGGAUGGACCCGCGUCUGAUUAGCUAGUUGGUAAGGUAACGGCUUACCAAGGCGACGAUCAGUAGCCGACCUGAGAGGGUGAUCGGCCACAUUGGAACUGAGACACGGUCCAAACUCCUACGGGAGGCAGCAGUGGGGAAUAUUGCACAAUGGGCGAAAGCCUGAUGCAGCAACGCCGCGUGAGUGAUGAAGGCCUUCGGGUCGUAAAACUCUGUCCUCAAGGAAGAUAAUGACGGUACUUGAGGAGGAAGCCCCGGCUAACUACGUGCCAGCAGCCGCGGUAAUACGUAGGGGGCUAGCGUUAUCCGGACUUACUGGGCGUAAAGGGUGCGUAGGCGGUCUUUCAAGUCAGGAGUGAAAGGCUACGGCUCAACCGUAGUAAGCUCUUGAAACUGGGAGACUUGAGUGCAGGAGAGGAGAGUGGAAUUCCUAGUGUAGCGGUGAAAUGCGUAGAUAUUAGGAGGAACACCAGUUGCGAAGGCGGCUCUCUGGACUGUAACUGACGCUGAGGCACGAAAGCGUGGGGAGCAAACAGGAUUAGAUACCCUGGUAGUCCACGCUGUAAACGGUGAGUACUAGGUGUCGGGGGUUACCCCCCUCGGUGCCGCCG